UAAAAAAUUUGGCGGUAUUUUAGUCUAUUCAGAGGAACCUGUUCUAUAAUCGAUAUUCCACGAUGGACCUUACUUAAAUUUGUUAAUCAGUUUAUAUACCGUCGUUAUUAGAAUAUUUUAUAAGAAUGUUAAUUUUCAUAAUUUUUAAAAAGAAAAUAUAUCAGAUCAAGGUGUAGCUAAUAUUUAAGUAGAAAUGGGUUACAAUAAAUUUAUUUAAAUGGAUAUAAAUUUGAAAAUUUUAUUGAAAGUGGAUUUGAUAGUAAAAUUAUAAAGAUUAUUAAUUUGAUUUUAGCUCUAAAAUAUGUACACAUCGCCCGUCACUCUUAUUAUUAAGGUAAGAUAAGUCGUAACAUAGUAGAUGUACUGGAAAGUGUCUCUAGAAUGCAAUUUAAAGCUUAAUAGUAAAGUAUUUCAUUUACAUUGAAGAGAUUUUUGUGCAAAUCAAUAUAAAUUGAUUAAUUUUUAUUUAUUAAUUUUUUUUUAUUAUAAAUUAAUUAUUAAAAAUAAUUAUAAAUUGUAAUGUUUUAGUAUUUUAUAAAGAAAAAAUAAUUUUAAUAAUAGUUUAAUAGUAUUGUAAAAGAAAAUUGAAAUAAU
rnacentral:rRNA from 1 species